rnacentral:lncRNA from 10 species
GCAGGGCUUUCAGGUUUCUCACGUCCCCUUCUGCUGUGGCUUCUGUGCUGAAUCUGCACUCCCAAUUCCCCUGCUCCCCUGAGUUCUGUCCAGGAAACUUUGCAUUCAGUCAAAAUUGUUACAAAGUUCAGCUGGAAGUUUCCUCCUCCCUCUGGUCUUUCCUCAGUUCCUCUGGCAGCCUUCCCCUAAGGACCUCUGCAAGACAAAGUCAGAAAUGGCUUUCCCGAGGAUUUAGAGAGCCCACAGGGCUCUUCCUACUGCUUCUUCUACCCCUGUUUUUCAUUCAGCUCUCUAAACUUGUCUCAGCUCCAGAUGUCGACAGCAACAUCUCCCCCAGGUGUAACAACUAAACGUGUCUCCAGACAUUGGCAAAUAUCCUUGGGCCAUGGAGAAAACAUCACCUUCAAUUGAAAACCACUGGGCCACUCUAAUGCCUUCAAGGUGACAAAACUGAGGCACAAAGAGCUCAAGCAACUUGUUUGUGGUCAAAAAACUGAUAAAUGAAGGAACCAUGAUUUAACCCAGCCAUUGACUCCAGACCAUGCUAUACAAAUACUAAGUAGGUUCCAAUAGCCAUUUUUUUUACACUUAGUUAUUAAAAUGUACCACUACAUGCUGCUUGUACACCAGGAUUUACUAUAACAAGACAGAAUGUCAAUGUGAGUAAUUCUAGUUGAUAAAAAGGACUACUUCAAUCCUCUACCUCCAAAAGAUGGGCAGGGGUGAUCGACCAGACAUCAGAGGAAUCAUGCUAUAUAGGACAAAUCCUGCGUCUUUUCCAGCAGUCAAGAAAUUUCAGAGUAAUAGUCACAUCAUCCUAAGUGAAGGUGUUUUUUGCAAACCCCUUAGCAUAUCUAAAGGGUACAACAAACAGUAAAUAGGAAGAGGUGUAGAUAAAUAGCCUUGCAGUACUGAGAGAGGUGACACCUGACAUGUAAUUUCCAUUAAGUUGCCUUUUCUGGCCUUUGACAAAAUUCAAC